AGGCAUCCCCCACCGUUGAUCCUGAUCGUGUAAGCGGUUUGAGACCCGUCGGUUCUGAAGGUGCAACACAAGGGAGCCUUAGAACAAGGUGAUGCAUUGUUCUUGAUGUAGCUGUAACAUAAGCUGGUAGGACUACAAUCUAUUGGCGCCUGCAGACCCCAAAAUCUCUUGGUCAGUCCUGAAAACCGGGUUCCAUUACAUUUUAAUCGAAAUCUACUUUCAUUGAACCCAAACCUAAUAACCAAACUAAAACUGAUCUCAAAUUUGAUCAUAAACCAAUAUGUUCUACAAUCUUCACACCAAACCAACUAAACUUUUUUGCUUUACCUGCAGCAUAGCCUGAGAGCAAUUAAGGAGCAAGAUAGUGUUGCUACUAGUGAUGCUGAAAGGGAGAUGGGGGUCGAGCUCGAGGCCCUGUUUAGAGACAUCAGCUGAGAUACAGGAUACUGAGCUAGCAAGACCAGGCGGGCGUAGAACGAUCCGCUGGGUCACUGAGUUGAUGGACGUAAUGACAUAAGAUGACCCAUGGAGGGCACCGAAAUAAAGCUUACCACCAACACAAUUUAUCCUAUAGGCUUGAUCCCCGCAGGUUGGACCCGUGCUUAGAGGAUAAGGUACAACCAUAGGUCCGCAGUUAGGACACCGUGGUGGUCCGGCCAUGGGAGGUUUUGCCUUAGCAUGUCGGGCACAAGAAUGACCCGCGCAUGCUAGCCAUACGGUCAAGAGAGUAGGUAUCAAUAAGGCGUAGUAUGAUCGCUUCUUCUCCAUUUUGUUGUAUAACUAAUUAAGAGUGUGGACAAUUAGUGAUCAAAAGAUGUGAGUAAAAGUUUAGGUUUAUGUACUAAUGAAAGGUCAUUAUUAUUUAUUUAUGUUAUUGCUGUGGUUAUACAUUUGUUACGUAUAUCUUAGUAAAGUAAACAAAAGCAAUUCCCGAGUUGUUUUGAAACGAGAAAAUGUGAGGAUUGGUUUGGA
rnacentral:lncRNA from 1 species